rnacentral:lncRNA from 1 species
CGCGUUGCUGCCCUUGUGUGUGAGGUCUUCUUUAGAAACCCAUUGGACACGUUCGGGGAAACACGCCCGUACGGUAUGCUGGGCUGGCGAUGGAUGCACAGAGUCCCAGAGGAGCUAUCUGCUCAUCAGGAAGGAAAAUCGGUGCUUUGCAUGCCUCGUGCAGAGCAACUUGGUGCCUCACUGCUAGGAUCCCACUGGCAGAAAUGGCUCUGCAGGUCACUCUGACAAGGUUGGUCCUGCUUCCCAUCACGUAGCACUUGGUAUGAAAACUUGUGACUUCCCUCUACCUCCAAGACCAUCCUGUUCAGCUCCAGAAAGCAAAGGCAAGGGACUGAAUGAAGUUUGUUUGUGUUUCCUUUUUUUUUUUUUUUUGUGCUUCCCUCCAGUAACUGGGGGAAACAUAUCACUGAAUUCCUGUUUUUAACGUUCUUUUGGCACGAUUCAAAACUAACCUACUGUGCCG